UCAUCCGUCUAUUCAUUAACUAACUGCUAAUCCUACAGUUACGACUUCUGGAUGAUAGAGCUAUUUCUUACUUCUUCUCCGGCAGCAUUCCCACACCUCUCAUUCCCCUAGUUAUAUUCAUUACCAACAAGUCCGCGAACUCUUUUCUGUUUUGUGUUUAAACUCAAGGCUUUUCCGGCUUUCCCCAGCCCACCAAUUGAUCAAUUUAUCAUAUCAAUUCGCCACCACAACUCGGGAACCUGACCAACCACCCCCUUACGAGGCAGAAUCCCAUGAUUCAAACUCCGAAGUUAACCUAGGUAUGGCACAGGCCAGCAAGAGGCCAGCAAGGUACAGUUGCAUACCCAGGUAUACCAUAUUAUGAGGAAUUUGACGUUAGCACAACAUCAUCACUUUCUGAACUAUAUAAAUCCCCUUUCUCUGUCACUUGAACAUCCUCUCUUCAUCCUCUCUAUUUUCUCUUUCUUUCCUCGUAAUUCUCUUGUCUUGUGUAUACUGUGUUCAUCCCCUCUUUUCUCUUGAGUCUCACUGCUAGUGUCAUUUGACCUGGCUGUGCUGCUUGAAACUGUUCUUGAUAUAGUGAUCAUAUUCACUUUCCCUUCUUCUCUGAUGCAAUUUUGUCUCACUCUAUCAUCAAGUUACCUUUAAAUCAUAUACAGACUGAGAUCUGCUACUGAGAUAUCUAAUCUACUUAAAACUGUGACUGACUGAGGUUUUCUAUUCAUUUUGUUGAUUUUAUUUUCUUAUUGUGUAUACGACUAGCUAUUACUCUAUAUUCUAUAUUUGAUGUUUUGAGGUCUGUAUAUCUAUUCUAUCAAUACUGUCAAUCUCAUUCUAUCUGUGUCUUGAUAUUUGUUAUUCUUAAUCUCUCUCUUUUGCAAUUGAUUGACAAAUGUGAUGUUUCUUAUCUAUAAUACAUGUCAGUGAUGAGUGAUCUUCAUUUGUUAAGAUGAUACAUCAAUAAAAAAAUAUCUUUAUAUAGCAGA
rnacentral:sRNA from 1 species